rnacentral:rRNA from 1 species
CACCCGUUCCCAUGCCGAACACGGAAGUUAAGCUCUUUAGCGCCGAUGGUAGUUGGGGGUUUCCCCCUGUGAGAGUAGGACGUUGCUAUGC